rfam:Myotis lucifugus cont2.15784, whole genome shotgun sequence.
ACUGGGGGGGGGGGGUCCCCACAGCCGGGAUUGUGAAAGGGCACAGGCCAGGCUGAGGGACCCCACUGGUGCACG